rnacentral:rRNA from 1 species
GAUGAACGCUGGCGGCGUGCCUAAUACAUGCAAGUAGAACGCUGAAGGAAGGAGCUUGCUCUUUCCGGAUGAGUUGCGAACGGGUGAGUAACGCGUAGGUAACCUGCCUGGUAGCGGGGGAUAACUAUUGGAAACGAUAGCUAAUACCGCAUAACAGUAGAUGUUGCAUGACAACUAUUUGAAAGGGGCAAUUGCUCCACUACCAGAUGGACCUGCGUUGUAUUAGCUAGUUGGUGAGGUAACGGCUCACCAAGGCGACGAUACAGAGCCGACCGGAGAGGGUGAUCGGCCACACUGGGACGGAGACACGGCACAGACUCCUACGGGAGGGAGCAGUAGGGAAUCUUCGGCAAGGGACGGAAGUCUGAGCGAGAAACGCCGAGUGAGGGAAGAAGGUUUUCGGGUCGGAAAGCUCGGUUGUAAGAGAAGAAAGAGUGUGAGAGUGGAAAGUUCACACUGUGACGGUAUCUUACCAGAAAGGGACGGCUAACUACGUG